rnacentral:tRNA from 1 species
UAGAUUGAAGCCAGUUGAUUAGGGUAUUUAGCUGUUAACUAAAAAUUCAUAGGAUAGAAGCCUAUCAAUCUAG